rnacentral:rRNA from 1 species
CGGUACUGAGUAUAGUGGCGGACGGGUGAGUAACGCGUGGGAACAUACACUACACUGGGGGAUAACUACUGGAAACGGUAGCUAAUACCGCAUACGCCCUAAGGGGGAAAGAUUUAUCGGUGUAGGAUUGGCCCGCGUUAGAUUAGCUAGUUGGUAGGGUAAAGGCUUACCAAGGCAACGAUCUAUAGCUGGUUUGAGAGGAUGAUCAGCCACACUGGGACUGAGACACGGCCCAGACUCC